rnacentral:lncRNA from 1 species
GGUCAGGCUUGACUGGCUACAGGAAACAGACAUGCACAGUUUUACUUCUAGAGGAAAAAAGGCUGGAAGGGAGGCCUUUCUUAUAAAGACCUAUAUGGACUGGAACUGCACCAGGACUAAUGAAAGCUUGAAGGCAUGGUUUCAUUCCUCUGUACAGAUAAUUAAGCAUAGAGAACUAUGAGCUGGGCAUUAUUUCCUUCAGUGGGAGGCUGGGCAGGCAAAAAAUGUACAGGCUGGCAGUACAAUAUUUAAUAUUGUGUCAUUUUGGGAGUCAAAAUAGGUUAAUGACCACAAAGAAUUUACAAGCCAGGAAGAGUCAAGCAAUAUUAACAGGAUAUCUUGAGAUAAGCACCAUAAUAGACAAAAUUAAUCACUUCCUCAUUUAUUGUAUUUCCCAGUAGUACUUUAGAAACCAGGUAUCUUCAAAAAUAAGUCUUACUGUCUAGUAAGUA